rnacentral:rRNA from 1 species
UGGGGAAUUUUGCACAAUGGGGGAAACCCUGAUGCAGCGACGCCGCGUGAUUUAGAAGGCCUUCUGGUUGUAAAAAUCUUUUCUAUGGGAAGAAAAUGACAGUACCAUAGGAAUAAGGACCGGCUAAUUACGUGCCAGCAGCCGCGGUAAUACGUAAGGUCCGAGCGUUGUCCGGAAUCAUUGGGCGUAAAGGGUACGUAGGCGGGUAAGCAAGUUAGAAGUGAAAUCCUAUAGCUCAACUAUAGUAAGCUUUUAAAACUGCUCAUCUUGAGGUAUGGAAGGGAAAGUGGAAUUCCUAGUGUAGCGGUGAAAUGCGCAGAUAUUAGGAGGAAUACCGGUGGCGAAGGCGACUUUCUGGCCAUAACCUGACGCUGAGGUACGAAAGCGUGGGUAGCAAACAGG